rnacentral:rRNA from 1 species
UACGUAGGGUGCGAGCGUUUAAUCGGAAUUACUGGGCGUAAAGCGUGCGCAGGCGGUUUUGUAAGCCAGGUGUGAAAUCCCCGGGCUCAACCUGGGAAUGGCAUUUGGGACUGCAAGGCUGGAGUGCGGCAGAGGAGACUGGAAUUCCUGGUGUAGCAGUGAAAUGCGUAGAUAUCAGGAGGAACACCGAUGGCGAAGGCAGGUCUCUGGGCUGACACUGACUCAUGCACGAAAGCGUGGGGAGCAAACAGG